CCCAGACCUCCUGAACCCAGACCUCCACUGCCGCUGUACUACUGUGUAGCUGUAGCAACUUCCGUUGUGGCUUUUUGUAAUCGUGUUGUGGCAUGAUGUCAUCUUGUGAAAAUCUGCUCCUGUUUUAGCCCCUCCUACCUGCCUGCUGCCAUUACAGGUGCAGCUCUGACUGAUUCAAGGAAACAGCUUUCUUUUAAAAAAGUCUUUUCUCUGCUUGGGGCGAGUGAGAGUCUGCUUCAUCAACACUUUGGACUCUUUGAAGAAACUGUUGGACUUUUUGACGCUUCUGGAUUUGGAUUUGAAGGUAUCAAGAUGUGACGGCUUCCGAUCAGACAAACACAAACACCAGCAGCGUCUGCCAGUGGCUGCAGGUGAAGGUAGAAAGUCUCUUUGACCACAUCUGGACGGGACUUUAACAGGUGACAACCUGACAGGUGAAAGUGGAUGUGAGUUGAGCAGCAUGAGUCAGUGUGAGGACAGAGAGGAGGGAGUCCCU